rnacentral:tRNA from 1 species
UGCUAGGAAAAGGGUUUUGACCUUUAUUUAAGCGUUU